UGCUCGUGGAACAAGCGGGAACUUCGCCCAUCUGGCAAUCAGUUGGACGUCAGGUUUCCUGCAAGAUACCGGCAGCGCAUGCGUCACAUCGGCCAGUCCAGAACGUAUAAAAGACCAGCUCCAACACGGAUUCUUCAGUUGGCUCGGCGAAAACGCAGGAAGCAGAGCGUUAACCAUGCGUCCUGUAUUACUGUUCCAGGUUUCACUGCGCCCACCGAGGCGAGACGGUCUUCGCAGAACUGGGUCUUGCACUAAGGAGGCGUCUCAUAAUCCCCGAGCUGACCCCCGCAGAGCAGCCGCUGUGGUUCUCCAUUGUCUUGCGUGUUGAAAGGCGCUUGGGAUGGUGUUGCCAGAUGCAUUCCCUCAGGAACUCCCCCGCUCCCGACAGACCUGCUCGGUGAUGUCAGUCGCCGCAGCAGACAUCGUGACGCCAAGAGGCUGCGGAACGACGCCUUGUCGUGCUUUCAAAGCAAGUCUCCACAGUAGGCCUAGUGGCGCCGUUCAGCCGUAGACCAGUGGUCGGUUCCUAGAAAAUGCCAAACCCGCUGCUGCAGCUGGCUGGGAAAACUUGGCAUGUCGGCACCUCUGCAGGCCGUUCAUAACACCACAUGGUGCUCGUAGUAUGGCACAACACCAUGUAGACCACGCUUGUUUCACGUCGAUCGUGAUCACUGGGAAGCGUCGCAAAUGUGCCACUGUGAUUAUUUUGAGAUGUGUAGUGCGUGAUGUUGUGCUGUUCCUGUGUUAUGUAUUAGAUAACAGGUGUGGCCUCAUGGCGUCGAAAGCGCGAAAAUGUUUUGUACACGGGUGUAUAAUCGAGUACAGAAGGUGCAAAGCCAAGGCGUCCCUUUUGAAAUCGCCUAAAGACGCAACUCGUGAAUUGUGGUCGCGAGUCGCAAAACAUCAAACGUGCUGACAAGGAGUUGACAACAGGGUGUGUUCUUUGCGAGCGGCGCUUCGAAUUCAAGAACAUUGAAAGGACCUUUUGGCAUGAUAUAAUUGGGGACGUAAUCACCAAAGAAGCAGCUGAAUGCAAUGCGGACAGCGUGUUCAUGGAAAAAUUUGACAGGAGAGGCCUAUUUUGCCCUGGAAAUGAGUUAGCCAGGAUCUUUAAAGUGUUGGAUGCAUUCACAUUAUUCUUUUUCGACAGAUAAGCUUUAUGCCUUCAGGAUGCGAGCUCCAUGGCAAACAGCCCACGGCAAAAAUGAGCCAAUUUGUGGUGUUAACUAGGCUGCACUUUUUCACAUUGAACAAGGACAAGGGUCUUCAAAGGGGGCGCCAGAAACAUUUGAAGUUAAGGAAAGUGAAGUAGAGCCUGCUGCUAAGCUUGGUCUGAUGUGUGCAUGUGGAUUACUGUACUACAUAAUAAAGUGUUUCCUUUCGUCUUGUGGACCUGUACAACAAAAGCAGUGAUGGAAAUUAUUUAGUACAUGUUGAGGUUCGCCAAAGCGUCCACAUAUGUACCUAAUUUUUUUGCAAAGCUGAAACGAAUAGUUAACUGAACAACGUGGUGAUGUUAUUCCGCGGUUUAUUGAGCACAGCCCCAUCGUCGAUUUUGUCGGUUGGCGUGUACGAUAUGCUCUGCGCCCACUGGCUACAUUUGCGUGAGAUGACCGAAGUUGAAAGCCGGCGUUUCGGGUUAUUUAUGCUCCCGGUCCACAUUCGUUUGCGCUAACACCAUGUCUAACCCUUUCAGAAAAUAAAAACAAACUCGUCCAGAGUGGCCUCCAAAUGUGAUCGCCCUCCUUUUUUUAAAUCGCAUGACUAAGCAUCUGCUGCGCGUUCCGGUGUUGCAGAUAACGUAUAUUGCCAUUGCCCGCUCUCCGAAGAAGUGCCACCCUUCUUAUUAAUGCAUCUAUGAUCUGCAAACAUGUGGUGAUGUUUGCACCGUGCUUCACAUUAGAAAUUCAAA